rnacentral:rRNA from 1 species
AAUCUGGCGCAAUGGGCGAAAGCCUGACGCAGCCAGGCCGCGUGAAUGAUGUAUGUCUUAGGAUUGUAAAAUUCUUUCACCGGGGACGAUAAUGACGGCACUCGGAGAAGAAGACCCGGCUAACUUCGUGCCAGCAGCCGCGGUAAUACGAAGGGGGCUAGCGUUGCUCGGAAUUACUGGGCGUAAAGGGCGCGUAGGCGGAUCGUUAAGUCAGGGGUGAAAUCCCGGGGCUCAACCUCGGAACUGCCCUUGAUACUGGCGAUCUUGAGUAUGAGAGAGGUAUGUGGAACUCCGAGUGUAGAGGUGAAAUUCGUAGAUAUUCGGAAGAACACCAGUGGCGAAGGCGACAUACUGGCUCAUUACUGACGCUGAGGCGAGAAAGCGUGGGGAGCAAACA